rnacentral:rRNA from 1 species
UGGGGAAUAUUGGACAAUGGGCGAAAGCCUGAUCCAGCAAUGCCGCGUGUGUGAAGAAGGCCUUAGGGUUGUAAAGCACUUUCAGCAGAGAAGAAAAGUGCAGGGCUAAUACCCCUGUACCUUGACGUAACCUGCAGAAGAAGCACCGGCUAACUCCGUGCCAGCAGCCGCGGUAAUACGGAGGGUGCAAGCGUUAAUCGGAAUUACUGGGCGUAAAGCGCGCGUAGGCGGUUUGAUAAGUCGGGUGUGAAAGCCCCGGGCUUAACUUGGGAAUGGCAUUCGAUACUGUCAAGCUAGAGUAUGGUAGAGGGAAGCGGAAUUCCGCAUGUAGCGGUGAAAUGCGUAGAUAUGCGGAGGAACACCAGUGGCGAAGGCGGCUUCCUGGAUCAAUACUGACGCUGAGGCGCGAAAGCGUGGGGAGCAAACAGGAUUAGAUACCCCCGUAGUCC